CGUGUUCAAAAUCUUCCGUCAACUUAAUUUAUUUUUUAAAAACUUACUUUAUAAUUUACAGUUACGUGCAAAGUUCAAACUUUCUUGAAAAAAUAUUAAAUUCAGUGUCGUGCUUUCAUCACAAUUUUUGCUGAAUUUUUUUUUUCUCUUUUUAUUUUUUGGUAGAAUAUUCAAGGUGAUAUGCAAAUUGUUUCUUUGCCUAAAUUAUACAUGUGACAAAAUUCUAUGGGCUCGAAAAUCCACGAGAGAAGUGCUUUGAGCAUCGAUACGGACCGCGCACGCGCGUCCAUAAAAUGAUCGUAAAAACUUAAUUUUACGAGAGGCAUAAUAUAUUUGCACCACUAACAGAAGAAGCCGUACUGAGAGUUCAAACGGGUAUUACGAAUGGAGGAAGAUCAAAGAGUCACGUUCCGACGGUAUACAUUCAAGUUUGGUGGAAAAUACAGUAGUCGACUGAGAUAUCUGGGGUUUUGGAAAUUUGUAUUCGAGUGACGUGGGGUGUGUUGUAUCAUCAGCUUAACAAUGCGAUUUGAAUGUAUCCUGGUGUGAACAUUGACACCGGGAACCGGUGACAUUGGCUACACGCGAACCAACCAAUGAGAGGAGAGAGCACAGACUCUCAUCAUGAUCCAUCAGCAAAGGAAACAGCCAGAAGCGCAGGAAACGGGAAACGUGGUGGAAAUUGAAAAUGUGAUGGACAACGGGGGUGAGGGGACAGAUGGCGGCACCGGAUAUAUAUAGGGUGGAGCUGGAACCCUGCGGAAAUUACGAAACUUGCGUUCGUAUUCCCGGAGUAGUUCUCCUACGGAUUAAACUUGCGAGCUUAAAGAAGAGAGGAAAAAUUUUACCCGCAUUGGAUGAUCUUUUAUAUAUUUCGCCAGACGACAAAAAAGGAAGAAUGGAAGCGGAGUUCUGAAUUUUAUCUUUGAUGAAAAGGAGAUGAGUCUCAGGUGCUCUUAUGAUUGUCUAAACGAGCUUUUCGGAAGAACUUAAAACGUAUCUAUAUAUAUAUUAUAAAAAGGAGGGUGUACUGGAAUAAGACGCAAGAAAAAAACGGAAUGAUGGCUUAGCGGGAGUGAUGAGAGAAUGAGAGAGAGAGAGAGAGAGAGGAGAGAGGGAAUAUAAGAGGAAAAGGGGAUGGCGCGCCAUCUAAAUAUGCUAAUACCUUCGACGCAGGAUAAUGAGUUCUUCGUUCCACCGUGAUCCAGCGAACUGCUAUGCAUGUAUAUUCAGCUAUAAACACGACUCAAGAUCGCUAUACUCAACGUACAUGUAUAUAUAUAUACUCGUAUAUAUACUUCGUUUUGCCGCCAGGCACGUGACAUAUUCCAUCGACAUUAUGCGCAACGGUAUCAAAAUACCAAAUCUAAUACCCUCGAAACCAUAAUAUUUGAAGAAGCGAGUCCACUUUACCGAAAUACAACCAGGUCUUAUAUCAAAAUUUACCCUGUUUUAUUAAAAUCUUAGUUGUGGUUAAUGCACUUUAAGGGGGGAAUUCUUUAAACCCAGGGUUGCCACAGAAAAUUAAUUUUCUUUUUCCCUCAUUUCCAGACAAAAUUUUGACUUUUUCCCUGACCCUAUAAAGAAUAUUCUGAUUCACGUUAAAAAUUAUUAGAUACUCGAAAAAAUAUUCUUACAGGGUGGCCACAUUUCAGUAAAAUCAGUAAAGUCGGGGAAAUGUCAGUGAAACAAAAUUUUUAUCAGUAAAGUUAGGGAAACAAAAUUUUUGUCAGUAAAGUUAGGGAAACAAAUUUUUUGUCAGUAAAGUCAGGGAAAAAAUUUUUCUCAAUGAAAUUAAGUAUAAAUUGAGAAUUAUUUCGACUUAUUUUCAAAGAUUGCGACUUUUUCGACUUCUCUUCCAAACAUUGCAACAAAAUACAACAAUUUUUAGUAUAC